UACGUAGGGUGCAAGCGUUAAUCGGAAUUACUGGGCGUAAAGCGUGCGCAGGCGGUUGUGCAAGACCGAUGUGAAAUCCCCCGGGCUUAACCUGGGAAUGGCAUUGGUGACUGCACGGCUAGAGUGUGUCAGAGGGGGGGUAGAAUUCCACGUGUAGCAGUGAAAUGCGUAGAGAUCUGGAGGAAUACCGAUGGCGAAGGCAGCCUUCUGGCCUAACACUGACGCUGAGGUGCGAAAGCAUGGGGAGCGAACAGG
rnacentral:rRNA from 1 species